rnacentral:tRNA from 1 species
GCAUUCGUGGUGUAGUGGUCAGCACGAUUGACGCGUAACCGAGAGGUCCGUGGUUCGAUUCCCAGCGAAGGCA